UUUGAUAAGAAUGAAUUUAAUCAGGCCGGCCAGUGGUGGCGCAUGCCUUUAAUCCCAGCACUCGGAAGGCAGAGGCCCUGAUGAACCCAGGAGGACCCACCUAAAAGGGCAGCUUAGGGAUUAAAUCUUCAGUAUAUAGGCUUUGGGGUCACAAUUCAGAUCUAGAAUACAGCACUACCCAGAUAAAAAUCUUUGCAAACCAAAAAUCCAAUGAAGGAUUUUAGAAUCUGAAUAUCUUAAGAGUUCUCAAGA
rnacentral:lncRNA from 1 species